rnacentral:rRNA from 1 species
AUGAACGCUGGCGGCGUGCCUAAUACAUGCCAGUCGAGCGAACGGACGAGAAGCUUGCUUCUCUGAUGUUAGCGGCGGACGGGUGAGUAACACGUGGAUAACCUACCUAUAAGACUGGGAUAACUUCGGGAAACCGUAGCUAAUGCCGGAUAAUAUUUUGAACCGCAUGGUUCAAAAGUGAAAGACGGUCUUGCUGUCACUUAUAGAUGGAUCCGCGCUGCAUUAGCUAGUUGGUAAGGUAACGGCUUACCAAGGCAACGAUGCAUAGCCGACCUGAGAGGGUGAUCGGCCACACUGGAACUGAGACACGGUCCAGACUCCUACGGGAGGCAGCAGUAGGGAAUCUUCCGCAAUGGGCGAAAGCCUGACGGAGCAACGCCGCGUGAGUGAUGAAGGUCUUCGGAUCGUAAAACUCUGUUAUUAGGGAAGAACAUAUGUGUAAGUAACUGUGCACAUCUUGACGGUACCUAAUCAGAAAGCCACGGCUAACUACGUG